rnacentral:rRNA from 1 species
AGCAGCCGCGGUAAUUCCAGCUCCAAUAGCGUAUAUUAAAGUUGUUGCAGUUAAAAAGCUCGUAGUUGAAUUUCGGGGUCAGUAGGUUGGUCAUGCCACUGGUAUGUACUGGUCUCACUGAUUCCUCCUUCCUGAUGAGCCGUAAUGCCAUUAAUUUGGUGUUGCGAGGAAUCUGGACUGUUACUUUGAAAAAAUUAGAGUGUUUAAAGCAGGCUAACGCUUGAAUACAUUAGCAUGGAAUAAUGAAAUAGGACGUUCGAUCUUAUUUUGUUGGUUUCUGAGAUUGACGUAAUGAUUAAUAGGGAUAGUUGGGGGCAUUAGUAUUCAAUUGUCAGAGGUGAAAUUCUUGGAUUUAUUGAAGACUAACUACUGCGAAAGCAUUUGCCAAGGAUGUUUUCAUUAAUCAAGAACGAAAGUUAGGGGAUCGAAGACGAUCAG